UUAUUAAUAAUAUUCUUGCUUUUGUUUCAUGUCAAAUAAAACAAUUUUAAAUUUUCAAACGCGAGAAAAGUCACCCGAUAAAAUGCUUUUUACUCAUAUGCAUUUCAGGGUGUAGGGAUUCUCAUGGAAAACACUUUCCAUGGCUGGCAUGGGAGUUGAAGAAUUCUUGUGCAGCCCAAGUCUAGUUCUUGUGUUGCUCAUUUCUAUAUGUGCUAAAUGGAGGAUUUCUUUUUCAUCCGGAACCCUAGUAUUGCAGGAGAUAGUUGCUUUAUGGUAUUCAGGGUGGAAGCAGAUCACUUUAUCUUUUGUACUAGGGAUUUAAGAGGUUUAGGCAGAUGCUUGAAAGUUUAUUCAUACUUAUUGUGAAGCAGAUCAUCUGGAAAACUGGGGAGUUAUCAUGCUGAAGACAUUUUUCUCCUUAUUGAAGUUUUCCAAACAAACCCUUCCAUCUAGGGUGAAUUAUUGGUUUCAUUUGGCUUAGUAGGAGAUUUCAGAUAGAAGCCAUCAAUCCUGGCCCUCAAGGGUGGAAUGAUUUGAAGGUAGGUCACUAACUGUUCCAAGAACAUUCAAAGGGAUUAUGAAGCAUAGGAUUGAAGAUUUAUAUAAGGUAAUCAAAUGCAUACCUGGGGG